ensembl:lncRNA
AACGAGUGCAUCUCUGCCGCUCCGUUACUCGGUAACGGAGAUGUUACGUCUACGGAUCUUCUCAAGGACCCCACCACCUCAGCUUGCAUCCCACCAGGACAUUCUCAAACGACCAAAAUACAUCCACCGAGGCUCUGGACGGAAUUUUCAGUACACUCACACCAGCAACAAAAACAUCCGCUCCUUCUGGUCCACUGGGCCCCGCCCCCUUCCUCGCACAGCCCGUACGACCAUCUCCCAGACAGAGGAGCCCGGGCCAUACACACAGUGUGAGGUGCAGUGUUUGUUCUGUGGUCAAGCGAUUGACGUUGCCAGCAUCCAAGACACAUUGAUGACUGUGAAAUUUCACAUCAACCAUCAACCUCUGCUGCCCAGACCUCUGCCCAGUCCUCUGCUGCCCAGACCUCUGCUGCCCAGUCCUCUGCUGCCCUGACCUCUGCCUCGACCUCAGCUGCCUCGACCUCGUCCACUGGCAGAGUGUCAGAGAUUUUCAAUGAAG